AGGCCCAAAAUAGCUCAAUCCAAAUUUCCUAAUACCUAACCCUAGUCAGCCCAAUACACCACCUAAUUACAUACCAGAUAUUAAACAACCAAGCCCAAAAUACAUUACCCAAGCCCAAACCCAAUUAUACCUAGCCCAAAUCAACCCAAAAUACAAAAAAAACACACAACAACCCUAGGGCAAACCCCAGCGUUGCAGCAGCUCUUCUCGUCCGUGCGUGCCAGGCCUCUGCACCCACACGAGCCUCCGUACACAUGCACCCACGUCUCUGUACCCGUACCUGCACACAAAAAACGCCACACCUACAACAGAGCAACAACCAGCAAUGAAAAAGAAAGAGAAAACAGAAAACGAAAACGUGGCAAUGACAUAUCUUUUUUUUAUUAUUUUAUUUUAUUUUGGCUAUAAAGAGCCAAGGCAAACAAUGUAAAAUGAUCUUCUUCUUUUUUUAUGUAGAGAUACUGAAUACAAAGAGGUGAUUUCCUGAUUUUCUUUCUCUCUUCGUUUUAUUUUUGUUCUCUUUUUCUUUCUUCUUUGCAAAACAAAUAGAAUAAAGGAGGGAGUAUACUUACCUGUGCGGAGACGGUGACAAAGCCUUAUCUGCUCUGUCCAAAUCGGAGCUAGAUGAGACUUCGAAUUUGUUGAAGCGGCG
rnacentral:lncRNA from 1 species